GAUCAUUAACGCGCAGGCCGUUGAAGGCGCGCCGCGGACCCCCAGGUCCGCCGUGCAGUGCCGCCGGCCACACGCCCAUUCUUGUCUACCCACCCAGUUGCCUCGGCGGGCCGCGCGCCCGCCAGAGGAGUGAUUAAAACCUAUGAAUACUGUUCCGUCUGAGCGUUAGCAAGUGAAAUCAGUUAAAACUUUCAACAACGGAUCUCUUGGUUCCGGCAUCGAUGAAGAACGCAGCGAAAUGCGAUAAGUAAUGUGAAUUGCAGAAUUCCGUGAAUCAUCGAAUCUUUGAACGCACAUUGCGCCCUCUGGUAUUCCGGGGGGCAUGCCUGUUCGAGCGUCAUUUCAACCCCUCAAGCGCGGCUUGUGUGAUGGACGACCGUCCCCGCCCUCCCCGGCGUCCCGGGGAGGGGGACGCGCCCGAAAAGCAGUGGCCAGGCCGCGAUUCCGGCUCCUGGGCGAAUGGGCAAUAACCAGCGCCUCUAGGACCGGCCGGCUCUCUGGCCUAGUUUCCGUCAGGGAUGCAUUUCUCUGCGAAUCUCAGGUGACCUCGGAUCACGUAGGGAUACCCGCUGAACUUAAGCAUAUC
rnacentral:misc_RNA from 1 species